UACGUAGGGACCAAGCGUUGUUCGGAUUUACUGGGCGUAAAGGGCGCGUAGGCGGCGUAAUAAGUCACUUGUGAAAUCUCCGGGCUUAACUCGGAGCGGCCAAGUGAUACUGUCAUGCUAGAGUGCAGAAAGGGCAAUCGGAAUUCUCGGUGUAGCGGUGAAAUGCGUAGAUAUCGAGAGGAACACCUGAGGCGAAGGCGGGUUGCUAGGCUGACACUGACGCUGAGGCGCGAAAGCUAGGGUAGCAAACGGG
rnacentral:rRNA from 1 species